rnacentral:lncRNA from 1 species
GUUCUUUCUGUGACAACUGAGAGUAAAGUGGAGUCUUGGUUUUCUCUCAUUAUGCCUUUUGCAACGGUUAUCUUUUUUGUCAUGAUCCUGGAUUUCUACGUGGAUUCCAUUUGUUCAGUCAAAAUGGAAGUUUCCAAAUGUGCUCGUUAUGGAUCCUUUCCCAUUUUUAUUAGUGCUCUCCUUUUUGGAAAUUUUUGGACACAUCCAAUAACAGACCAGCUUCGGGCUAUGAACAAAGCAGCACACCAGGAGAGCACUGAACACGUCCUGUCUGGAGGAGUGGUAGUGAGUGCUAUAUUCUUCAUUUUGUCUGCCAAUAUCUUAUCAUCUCCCUCUAAGAGAGGACAAAAAGGUACCCUUAUUGGAUAUUCUCCUGAAGGAACACCUCUUUAUAACUUCAUGGGUGAUGCUUUUCAGCAUAGCUCUCAAUCGAUCCCUAGGUUUAUUAAGGAAUCACUAAAACAAAUUCUUGAGGAGAGUGACUCUAGGCAGAUCUUUUACUUCUUGUGCUUGAAUCUGCUUUUUACCUUUGUGGAAUUAUUCUAUGGCGUGCUGACCAAUAGUCUGGGCCUGAUCUCGGAUGGAUUCCACAUGCUUUUUGACUGCUCUGCUUUAGUCAUGGGACUUUUUGCUGCCCUGAUGAGUAGGUGGAAAGCCACUCGGAUUUUCUCCUAUGGGUACGGCCGAAUAGAAAUUCUGUCUGGAUUUAUUAAUGGACUUUUUCUAAUAGUAAUAGCGUUUUUUGUGUUUAUGGAGUCAGUGGCUAGAUUGAUUGAUCCUCCAGAAUUAGACACUCACAUGUUAACACCAGUCUCAGUUGGAGGGCUGAUAGUAAACCUUAUUGGUAUCUGUGCCUUUAGCCAUGCCCAUAGCCAUGCCCAUGGAGCUUCUCAAGGAAGCUGUCACUCAUCUGAUCACAGCCAUUCACACCAUAUGCAUGGACACAGUGACCAUGGGCAUGGUCACAGCCACGGAUCUGCGGGUGGAGGCAUGAAUGCUAACAUGAGGGGUGUAUUUCUACAUGUUUUGGCAGAUACACUUGGCAGCAUUGGUGUGAUCGUAUCCACAGUUCUUAUAGAGCAGUUUGGAUGGUUCAUCGCUGACCCACUCUGUUCUCUUUUUAUUGCUAUAUUAAUAUUUCUCAGUGUUGUUCCACUGAUUAAAGAUGCCUGCCAGGUUCUACUCCUGAGAUUGCCACCAGAAUAUGAAAAAGAACUACAUAUUGCUUUAGAAAAGAUACAGAAAAUUGAAGGAUUAAUAUCAUACCGAGACCCUCAUUUUUGGCGUCAUUCUGCUAGUAUUGUGGCAGGAACAAUUCAUAUACAGGUGACAUCUGAUGUGCUAGAACAAAGAAUAGUACAGCAGGUUACAGGAAUACUUAAAGAUGCUGGAGUAAACAAUUUAACAAUUCAAGUGGAAAAGGAGGCAUACUUUCAACAUAUGUCUGGC